rnacentral:rRNA from 1 species
AUUGAACGCUGGCGGCAGGCCUAACACAUGCAAGUCGAGCGGAUGAAGGGAGCUUGCUCCUGGAUUCAGCGGCGGACGGGUGAGUAAUGCCUAGGAAUCUGCCUGGUAGUGGGGGAUAACGUCCGCAAACGGGCGCUAAUAACGCAUACGUCCUGAGGGAGAAAGUGGGGGAUCUUUGGACCUCACGCUAUCAGAUGAGCCUAGGUCGGAUUAGUUAGUUGGUGGGGUAAAGGCCUACCAAGGCGACGAUCCGUAACUGGUCUGAGAGGAUGAUCAGUCACACUGGAACUGAGACACGGACCAGACUCCUACGGGAGGCAGCAGUGGGGAAUGUUGGACAGUGGGCGAAAGCCUGAUCCAGCCAUGCCGCGUGUGUGAAGAAGGUCUUCGGAUUGUAAAGCACUUUAAGUUGGGAGGAAGGGCAGUAAGUUAAGACCUUGCUGUUUUGACGUUACCAGCAGAAGAAGCACCGGCUAACUUCGUG